UCUGGACCCCAGCUUUAUGUCCAGGG
rnacentral:piRNA from 1 species